rnacentral:rRNA from 1 species
GAUUAACGCUGGCGGCGUGCAUAACACAUGCAAGUCGAACGAUGAAACUUAGUAGACUUCUUCGGAAAGACACUAAGCGGCUUAGUGGCGAACGGGUGAGUAACGCGUGAGUAACCUGCCUUACACACGGGGAUAGCCUUUGGAAACGAAGAAUAAUACCCUAUAAAACCAUAAAAGCACAUGCUAGAAUGGUCAAAGUGAUAGCGGUGUAAGAUGGACUUGCGUCUGAUUAGCUAGUUGGUGAGAUAAAAGCUCACCAAGGCAACGAUCAGUAGCCGGCUUGAGAGAGUGUACGGCCACAUUGGGACUGAGACACGGCCCAGACUCCUACGGGAGGCAGCAGUGGGGAAUUUUGCACAAUGGGGGAAACCCUGAUGCAGCGACGCCGCGUGAUUUAGAAGGCCUUCGGGUUGUAAAAAUCUUUUGUAUAGGAAGAAAAUGACAGUACUAUACGAAUAAGGUCCGGCUAAUUACGUG